rnacentral:rRNA from 1 species
UACAGAGGUCCCAAGCGUUGUUCGGAUUCACUGGGCGUAUAGGGUGCGUAGGCGGUCGGGUAAGUCUGAUGUGAAAUCUCACAGCUUAACUGUGAAACUGCAUUGGAUACUAUCCGGCUCGAGGAAUGGAGGGGAGACUGGAAUACUUGGUGUAGCAGUGAAAUGCGUAGAUAUCAAGUGGAACACCAGUGGCGAAGGCGAGUCUCUGGACAUUUCCUGACGCUGAGGCACGAAAGCCAGGGGAGCAAACGGG